rnacentral:rRNA from 1 species
AUGAUGAGCUCUGCUCGCCGUUGCUCAUUUUUUAUUGGGAACCCUGCAGUUGCAGCGGAUCUCGCCGGCGGAUCCCGCUGGCAACGGUAUGCUCCCCAUCUUCACCAUGGACGCGCCGAAGUCCGAGAAGAACUGCUCGCCGUCGUCGCUGUACGUCUGCACCAGCGCCUUGGUGGUGCUUGCAACGACGUCCUCGUCGGCGGAGAAGAGGCCCUGGUCGGACGUCAGGAGGCCCUUCUUGCUCAGCAGGUUGUGGUAGUACUGCUUGUCGAACACGUCCGCGGAGCUCACGUCCAACGCGGCGGUCUGGUUCCCGUCGCCGCCAGUGCAGAGCUUCUGCAGGUUGGCGGCCAUGGUGGCGUCCAGCGUCGGGUCGGCCGAGCUCUUGGUCGACGUCAGCCGGUCGCUGAACAGCACGCACCGGGCUCGCCCGAUCGUCUGUUACCUGACAGGACCACGACGUCUUUUGUGUCGAGGCCGACAUCGGUAAACUUCUGUACGAUGGAGCUGAUCGGUUCGAACGGCGAGGGCAGACCGUUGUCAGCUCCUGACUGA